ensembl:snoRNA
UGCUUUUGUGUGUUUUUCAUUUAACUCAUGGACAAACUUAUAAACAGGUGCAAAUAUUAAACCUCGUUUUUGCAAUCUAAAACUCAUUGUUCAGUAUGAGUCUUGAUACAUAUAAGAAAGAAUAUU